rnacentral:rRNA from 1 species
AUUGAACGCUGGCGGCAGGCUUAACACAUGCAAGUCGAACGAGUGGCGGACGGGUGUGUAAUGCAUGGGAAUCUAGCUUAUGUAGGGGGAUAACUACGGUAAACUGUAGCUAAUACCGCGCAACCUAGGCUGAGCCCAAGUGGGUUUAGGUAGUUGGUGAGGGAAAGGCUCACCAACCCGACGAUCUCUAGCUGGUCGUAGUGGAGGACCAGCCACACUGGGACGGAGACACGGCCCCGACCCCUACGGGAGGCAGCAGUGGGGAAUAUUGCGCAAUGGGGGCAACCUGACGCAGCCAUGCCGCGUGAAUGAAGAAGGCCUUCGGGUUGUAAAGUUCUUUCGGUAGCGAGGCGUUAACUAACGAAGAAGCACCGGCUAACUCCGUGCCAGCCGCCGCGGUAAUUC